CUGGGACAUCUGAUGGAGCGGAAUGGCUCUCUAUCCCGUUGAUCUGGGAGAAGCUCGGAUGCCUCGAAGCUGCUGACGAGUCUACUGCUGUCGGAUACCUUAGGCGCUGAUACUACAGGUGGGAGUCAUCUGCUGUAGAAGCUCGAUGGAGACUUUUCAUUGGUGAAGCCCGGCAGGAGUCUGAUUGCUAGAGAAGUCCGUCUG
rnacentral:lncRNA from 1 species